AACCCGCGGUCAGAGGUGAUGCUUAAAUAUUGUCUCUUUGCCACACUCUGUCAGCAGUGUUUCUGAAUGGUUGUAAAUAUUGUUUUGACAUAAGAAAAGAACGUCCUCGUGGUUUGGUAGUCCAGUUGAAUCAAGGACUCUGCAUUCCCUCGUCAUUUUCCAGGGAGAGACAGAUUCACCUCUGAUUAUAGCUUGUGAAAGGCACAGCAGUGAAGCAUCUUCACCCCUGGAGGAGUGUUCAUGAGUAAUCAGAUUCUUUGAGAGAUUUUGGAAUGACGAGCAGGAAUGCAUAUUCAACCUUUGGGAUUUUGGGACAAGAAUGAACACACAACACGGACACACACACCAUUAAAGCAUCACAUUUAUGUUAUAAAUACAGCACAUUUCCAA